rnacentral:rRNA from 1 species
AUUGAACGCUGGCGGCAUGCCUUACACAUGCAAGUCGAACGGUAACAGGUCUUCGGAUGCUGACGAGUGGCGAACGGGUGAGUAAUACAUCGGAACGUGCCUAGUAGUGGGGGAUAACUACUCGAAAGAGUGGCCAAUACCGCCUGAGAUCUACUGAUGAAAGCAGGGGAUCGCAAGACCUUGUGCUACUAGAGCGGCGGAUUGCAGAUUAGGUAGUUGGUGGGAUAAAAGCUUACCAAGCCGACGAUCGGUAGCUGGUCUGAGAGGACGAUCAGCCACACUGGGACUGAGAAACGGCCAAGACUCCUACGGGAGGCAGCAGUGGGGAAUUUUGGACAAUGGGCGAAAGCCUGAUCCAGCAAUGCCGCGUGCAGGAUGAAGGCCUUCGGGUUGUAAACUGCUUUUGUACGGAACGAAAAGCCCCGGGUUAAUACCCUGGGGUCAUGACGGUACCGUAAGAAUAAGCACCGGCUAACUACGUGCCAGCAGCCGCCGUAA